CUUAAUUUUUGGGUUUCCAUGUCUAACGUUUGACCGUCCGUUUUAUUUAAAAAAAUAUUAAAAAAAUAAAAAGAUAAGUCAUGAAUAAAAUAUUAUUCAUGUUUUAUUAUCUAACAAUAAUGAAAAUACUAAUAAAAAAAUUUCAUAUAAAACGGACGAUCAAACGUUGGACGCGGAAAGUC
rnacentral:pre_miRNA from 1 species